AAGACAAAAAAAAAAAAAAAAAAAAAAGUAACAUCGGUCACAGAAGAGGACAUGCUAAUGGCCAAUACAAGGAAACUUAGACUCCAGGAGUGCGGAGGAAGCGCACAGUGAAACAAAAACAUAGGACGCCCCCCCAUCAAUUAAUUGACAAAAGAUAAACAGAAGAAUGUCCAGCUGUUGGGGCUGUCAAGGGGGAGUGGGGAGGGAGCAGGAUGGACUGGGAAUUUGUUGGGAGUUCGGGAUUAACAGAUGCAAACUACUACAUUUAGAAUGUAUGAACAAGUCCUACUGUACAGAGAGCCCAGGGACCUAUACCCAGUCUCCACGACAGACCAUAAAAAAGAAUGGAUGUACCUGCGUACAUGAGUCACUUUGCUAUACAGCAGAAAUUGGCAAAAUAUUGCAAAUCAGCCAUACUCGAAUAAAAAGAAACGAAAACAAAAAAAGUUUGUAGAACACCAUGUACUUUAAAGUAUAGGGGCACUUAAAGUUUUACUUGGUUAUUACAGCAUAUUUACCACCGUCAUUUUGUAAAUCUAAGACAACUAGAAAGGAAAAUAUUCAAUAUGCUUUCAAGAUGGUAUACAUUAGAUUGUCCUUUUACUCGGCGACUCUUCUGCUGUGCUAGUCAUACUGGGUUUACUCACUACUGAUUUAUUCCCCACUUGUCAUGUGCAGGGCACUGGAAACGAUGCUGGAUACACCACGGGGAGCAAGAGACACACUAUCCCUAGGAAGCUGAGCUUGCAAACAGAAACAGACAUUCCGACAAACAGCUACAGAAACGGAAAUAAUGACGAUUGAUGCUGGGAUACUUGUCUAUCUGCCUACAUCAGCUUAACGGCUGCUGAACAGGAAAUGCAACUGUCAUUUCCACAUACCCGAUACAUGGUACAUGGUCAAGGAGUGGUAUUACAGAACGACAUCAAGGGGCUUCAAACGUCGCGCACAUUCCACCAGUGGCCUCUACCAACUAACCACCACACGCUUAGAAGACGCGAGCAUUACCGUCCGCCGUGGUCGCCUUCUGGUGCGGCAUCAGCAUGGCAGCAAAUUCUUGAAGCUGAUUUCCUCUGAUGAUCCUAUCCAGGUACAUCUUCUCUAAGAUCCCAUAAGCAGCAAGUUGCUGGCACCUUUCAUCCUUAAA